UACGGAGGGUGCAAGCGUUAUCCGGAUUCACUGGGUUUAAAGGGCGCGUAGGCGGCUCGCGAGGUCGGGGGUGAAAUCCCGCAGCUUAACUGCGGAAGGGCCUCCGAUACCGGCGGGCUGGAGGAAGGUAGGGGUGCGCGGAACUUCUGGUGGAGCGGUGAAAUGCGUUGAUAUCAGAAGGAACGCCGGCGGCGAAAGCGGCGCACUGGACCUUUUCUGACGCUGAGGCGCGAAAGCUAGGGGAGCAAACGGG
rnacentral:rRNA from 1 species